AUUGAACGCUGGCGGCAGGCCUAACACAUGCAAGUCGAACGAGUGGCGGACGGGUGAGUAAUGUCUGGGAAACUGCCUGAUGGAGGGGGAUAACUACUGGAAACGGUAGCUAAUACCGCAUACUAUCGGAUGUGCCCAUAUGGGUUUAGCUAGUAGGUGGGGUAAAGGCUCACCUAGGCCACGCUCCCUAGCUGGUCUGAGAGGAUGGCCAGCCACACUGGAACUGGGGCACGGUCCAGGUUCCUACGGGGGGCAGCAGUGGGGGAUAAUGCACCAUGGGCGCAAGCCUGAAGGAGCCAAGCCGGGUGUAUGAAGAAGGCCUUCGGGUUGUAAAGGACUUUCGGCGGAGAGGCGUUACCUGCAGAAGAAGCACCGGGUAACUCCGGGCCAGCAGCCGCGGUAAUUC
rnacentral:rRNA from 1 species